GAUGAACGCUGGCGGCGUGCCUAAUACAUGCAAGUCGAGCGAACAGACGAGGAGCUUGCUCCUCUGACGUUAGCGGCGGACGGGUGAGUAACACGUGGAUAACCUACCUAUAAGACUGGGAUAACUUCGGGAAACCGGAGCUAAUACCGGAUAAUAUAUUGAACCGCAUGGUUCAAUAGUGAAAGACGGUUUUGCUGUCACUUAUAGAUGGAUCCGCGCCGCAUUAGCUAGUUGGUAAGGUAACGGCUUACCAAGGCAACGAUGCGUAGCCGACCUGAGAGGGUGAUCGGCCACACUGGAACUGAGACACGUUCCAAACCCCUACGGAGGCCGGCAUUGGGGAAUCUUCCGCAAGGGCCGAAAGCCUAACGGAGCAACGCCGCUUGAUUGAUAAAGUCCUCCGGUUCGUAAACCUCUUUUAUAGGGAAGAACAAAUGUGUAAGUAACUAUGCACGUCUUGACGGUACCUAAUCAGAAAGCCACGGCUAACUACGUG
rnacentral:rRNA from 1 species